rnacentral:lncRNA from 1 species
UAACCCAUUAUUCCAAAUUUUAGUAACCGCAACUCUCUAUUUCUCUCUUUCAAAAGCAACGCAUUCCCUUCCACUAUCCCAUAAUUUUAGUAACUGCAAUUCUCUCUCUCUCUCCGAAACGCAACACAGCUGCUCCUCACCGCUUUUUAGCAAGCGACAACCUUUGCCAAUUUCGCCACUCUUCUCGCCUCUGUUACCUUUCAUCCACAUCAGGACAUCAGGAAAGUCGUCGCAGUUAACUCUGCUUUUUCAUCAAUUUUCAUCAGCCACAUCAUCGAGUCGCGACGUCACCGGUGACCACCGUAGCAGUCCAACGCCUUGCAACGCUAUUUGACCGCCUAUGUUCGGCAGAAAAAGCCACCACUUCCUCCCUAGUCAAUCAAUACA